rnacentral:rRNA from 1 species
GCCGCAUGAGUGAAGAAGGCCUUUGGGUUGUAAAGCUCUUUUAGUGAGGAAGAUAAUGACGGUACUCACAGAAGAAGUCCUGGCUAACUCCGUGCCAGCAGCCGCGGUAAUACGGAGAGGGCUAGCGUUAUUCGGAAUUAUUGGGCGUAAAGGGCGCGUAGGCGGAUUAGUAAGUUAAAGUGAAAUCCCAAGGCUCAACCUUGGAAUUGCUUUUAAAACUGCUAAUCUAGAGAUUGAAAGAGGAUAGAGGAAUUCCUAGUGUAGAGGUGAAAUUCGUAAAUAUUAGGAGGAACACCAGUGGCGAAGGCGUCUAUCUGGUUCAAAUCUGACGCUGAGGCGCGAAGGCGUGGGGAGCAAACAGGAUUAGAUACCCUGGUAGUCCACGCUGUAAACGAUGAAUGUUAAAUAUGGGAAGUUUUACUUUCUGUAUUACAGCUAACGCGUUAAACAUUCCGCCUGGGGACUACGGUCGCAAGAUUAAAACUCAAAGGAAUUGACGGGGACCCGCACAAGCGGUGGAGCAUGUGGUUUAAUUCGAUGCAACGCGAAAAACCUUACCACUCCUUGACAUGAAAU